CUGCAAUGCAGUGCUGUAUCCCUCCUUCUGAUCUGCUCUCCUUUUGUAUGAUCUCCCUGAGUGUAAUCUGACAUCAUGGAAUUCGUCCGAAACAAGUUCAAUUCUGUUAUAAUUGAGAAUCAAAGACAUCAUCACGAGAUGCUUCGCUUGCAUGAGCCAGUUCUAAAACUAUUUGCAAAAGGCAAAGAGAGAAAUGUGCUUCAAGACACAGCAAUUGUGCAGGUUUAAGUAAAGUGAGGGCAGGAGACAAGAUCACAUGGGAUGGGACCUGACGGAUGAAGAUUUUGGUGAAGUCCAGUUCAACCAUACCUCUAUAUGGCAUAAAAGGUUAAUCUAAAGUUUCCAGGACUCGCCAG